rnacentral:rRNA from 1 species
AAGCGAGUCUGAAUAGGGCGUUUAGUAUUUGGUCGUAGACCCGAAACCAGGUGAUCUACCCUUGGUCAGGUUGAAGUUCAGGUAACACUGAAUGAAGGACCGAACCGACUUACGUUGAAAAGUGAGCGGAUGAACUGAGGGUAGCGGAGAAAUUCCAAUCGAACCUGGAGAUAGCUGGUUCUCUCCGAAAUAGCUUUAGGGCUAGCCUCAAGUGAUGAUUAUUGGAGGUAGAGCACUGUUUGGACGAGGGGCCCCUCUCGGGUUACCGAAUUCAGACAAACUCCGAAUGCCAAUUAAUUUAACUUGGGAGUCAGAACAUGGGUGAUAAGGUCCGUGUUCGAAAGGGAAACAGCCCAGACCACCAGCUAAGGUCCCAAAAUAUAUGUUAAGUGGAAAAGGAUGUGGCGUUGCCCAGACAACUAGGAUGUUGGCUUAGAAGCAGCCAUCAUUUAAAGAGUGCGUAAUAGCUCACUAGUCGAGUGACACUGCGCCGAAAAUGUACCGGGGCUAAACAUAUUACCGAAGCUGUGGAUUGUCCUUUGGACAAUGGUAGGAGAGCGUUCUAAGGGCGUUGAAGCAUGAUCGUAAGGACAUGUGGAGCGCUUAGAAGUGAGAAUGCCGGUGUGAGUAGCGAAAGACGGGUGAGAAUCCCGUCCACCGAUUGACUAAGGUUUCCAGAGGAAGGCUCGUCCGCUCUGGGUUAGUCGGGUCCUAAGCUGAGGCCGACAGGCGUAGGCGAUGGAUAACAGGUUGAUAUUCCUGUACCACCUAUAAUCGUUUUAAUCGAUGGGGGGACGCAGUAGGAUAGGCGAAGCGUGCGAUUGGAUUGCACGUCUAAGCAGUAAGGCUGAGUAUUAGGCAAAUCCGGUACUCGUUAAGGCUGAGCUGUGAUGGGGAGAAGACAUUGAGUCUUCGAGUCGUUGAUUUCACACUGCCGAGAAAAGCCUCUAGAUAGAAAAUAGGUGCCCGUACCGCAAACCGACACAGGUAGUCAAGAUGAGAAUUCUAAGGUGAGCGAGCGAACUCUCGUUAAGGAACUCGGCAAAAUGACCCCGUAACUUCGGGAGAAGGGGUGCUCUUUAGGGUUAACGCCCAGAAGAGCCGCAGUGAAUAGGCCCAAGCGACUGUUUAUCAAAAACACAGGUCUCUGCUAAACCGUAAGGUGAUGUAUAGGGGCUGACGCCUGCCCGGUGCUGGAAGGUUAAGAGGAGUGGUUAGCUUCUGCGAAGCUACGAAUCGAAGCCCCAGUAAACGGCGGCCGUAACUAUAACGGUCCUAAGGUAGCGAAAUUCCUUGUCGGGUAAGUUCCGACCCGCACGAAAGGCGUAACGAUUUGGGCACUGUCUCAACGAGAGACUCGGUGAAAUCAUAGUACCUGUGAAGAUGCAGGUUACCCGCGACAGGACGGAAAGACCCCGUGGAGCUUUACUGUAGCCUGAUAUUGAAAUUCGGCACAGCUUGUACAGGAUAGGUAGGAGCCUUUGAAACGUGAGCGCUAGCUUACGUGGAGGCGCUGGUGGGAUACUACCCUAGCUGUGUUGGCUUUCUAACCCGCACCACUUAUCGUGGUGGGAGACAGUGUCAAGCGGGCAGUUUGACUGGGGCGGUCGCCUCCUAAAAGGUAACGGAGGCGCUCAAAGGUUCCCUCAGAAUGGUUGGAAAUCAUUCAUAGAGUGUAAAGGCAUAAGGGAGCUUGACUGCGAGACCUACAAGUCGAGCAGGGUCGAAAGACGGACUUAGUGAUCCGGUGGUUCCGCAUGGAAGGGCCAUCGCUCAACGGAUAAAAGCUACCCCGGGGAUAACAGGCUUAUCUCCCCCAAGAGUUCACAUCGACGGGGAGGUUUGGCACCUCGAUGUCGGCUCAUCGCAUCCUGGGGCUGUAGUCGGUCCCAAGGGUUGGGCUGUUCGCCCAUUAAAGCGGUACGCGAGCUGGGUUCAGAACGUCGUGAGACAGUUCGGUCCCUAUCCGUCGUGGGCGUAGGAAAUUUGAGAGGAGCUGUCCUUAGUACGAGAGGACCGGGAUGGACAUACCUCUGGUGUACCAGUUGUCGUGCCAACGGCAUAGCUGGGUAGCUAUGUGUGGACGGGAUAAGUGCUGAAAGCAUCUAAGCAUGAAGCCCCCCUCAAGAUGAGAUUUCCCAACUUCGGUUAUAAGAUCCCUCAAAGAUGAUGAGGUUAAUAGGUUCGAGGUGGAAGCAUGGUGACAUGUGGAGCUGACGAAUACUAAUCGAUCGAAGACUUAAUCAA